rnacentral:rRNA from 1 species
UACGUAGGGAGCGAGCGUUGUCCGGAAUUACUGGGCGUAAAGCGCGCGUAGGCUGUUGUGUAAGUUGGGGGUGAAAUCCCACGGCUCAACCGUGGAACAGCCCUUGAUACUGCGCGACUUGAAUCCGGGAGAGGGUGGCGGAAUUCCAGGUGUAGGAGUGAAAUCCGUAGAUAUCUGGAGGAACAUCAGUGGCGAAGGCGGCCACCUGGACCGGUAUUGACGCUGAGGCGCGAAAGCGUGGGGAGCAAACAGG